rnacentral:rRNA from 1 species
CUACCAUUAAGGGACGAUACUGAAGAUUUCCGAGCGUGGCACUUCGAUAGCAAAGGUGUUUUCUCGGUGAAACAAGCCUAUAAGCUACAACGGGUUAUUUCAGAACACGACGCCGUGGGGCAAGGUGGGGAGCCACAUGCUGUUGGUGAUCUUGAUGGUGGCGGUGAUGUGAGGUGGAAAAGGAUAUGGAAGAUACCAUGCCCGAGGAAGAUCAGGCACUUUAUGUGGAGAAUGCUGCAUAACACAAUCGCCACAAAAGACAUCCUAGCAAGAAGAGGGAUGAGCAUUGAGGAUCACCGUUGCUUCAUGUGUACAACGCGGCACGAGACAGGGAAGCAUCUCUUUGUAGAGUGUCCCGAGGUGAAAGUGGUGUGGAGGAAGUUAGGGCUUGAACACAUCCGAGCGCAACUAGCUGACUGCGAUGCGAUAGGAGAAACCAUGGACAUUCUCUGGCGGGCCAUAGAAAAGGAGAGGCUGCAGGUCAUAGUAAUGUGGUGGCAGUGGUGGACUCAGCGGAACAAAGUGCGGGAGGGGGAGAAGCCCAUGGAUCGCGAGCAGUUCAGCUGUAGGGCUGCAUGCACGGCAGAGGAAUAUCUUGGGUGUUUCUGCAAAAUGGCAAAACUGUCAGCUCUUCCACAGGCCUGGGCCCCACCUCCUCCGGAUGAGCUAAAGAUCAACGUGGAUGGCGCAUAUAUACCAGGCAUCCAACAUGGUGCUUGGGGUGCCAUCAUGCGUGACUCGACGGGGCAGGUGGUGGCGGCGCGGGCAGGGCGGGUAGAUCACGUGGCGUCGGCUUUCGACACGGAAUUGCAUGCAGCAGAACGAGCGCUGGAGGUUGCGGCGGAGCUCGGAGUGCUGCGGCUCACGGUGGAAACGGACGCGCUCCUGGUGCAGCAAGCCUUAAGCCGCCGAGCGCCAGACUACUCCAUACAAGCCCAUGUGAUCGAGGAUGUCAAAGUGCAGGCGCGCUUGUGGUUUGCAUCUUGUGUGUUUGCUCAUUGUAAGAGGGAGGCCAAUACGGCCGCUCAUAAUCUAGCUAAACUUGGGUUGGCUCUUGGAGUGGGAGAGGUUCUUGUACUGGAUGAUGGAUGA